CGGGCGCACGGCGGAUGCCUUGGCACAGGGAGCCGAUGAAGGACGCGGCAAGCUGCGAUAAUCCCCGGCGAGGAGCACACAUCCUUCGACCCGGGGGUCUCCGAAUGGGCGAACCCAUGCACAGCAGUGUGCAUAUCCCCGGCCCGAACACAUAGGGCCGGGGAGGACAACCCGGGGAACUGAAACAUCUAAGUACCCGGAGGAGAGGAAAUCAAUCUCGAGACUCCCCGAGUAGCGGCGAGCGAAAGGGGACCGAUGGCCAAACCGUCGAGCGGGCAUACCCGGCAGGGGUUCCGCCGACGGGGUUGCAGGGCCGCGCAUCCGGGGGCUGCCGCCCCCGGGCGCAGGUCCGGCUGGGGAGCGGAACGGCAUGGGAGGGCCGGCCGCAGCGGGUGACAGCCCCGUACGCGAACCCAGACCGGACGGCGCGACGCGGUCCCUGAGUAGGGCCGGGCACGUGAAACCCGGUCCGAACCUGGGUGGACCACCAUCCAAGCCUGAGUACUACCCUGUGACCGAUAGCGCACCAGUACCGUGAGGGAAAGGUGAAAAGCACCCCGGGAGGGGAGUGAAACAGUACCUGAAACCGUGCGCCCACGAGCAGUCGGAGCACCUUUAUGGUGUGACGGCGUGCCUUUUGUAGAAUGAGCCAGCGAGUCGCUGGCGCGGGGCGAGGUUAACCGAAAGGGAGCCGGAGCGAAAGCGAGCCUUAACAGGGCGACUUGAGUCCCGCGCCGCGGACGCGAAGCCGGGUGAGCUAUCCGUGGGCAGGCUGAAGCGGGGGUAAGACCCCGUGGAGGGCCGAACGCACGUCGGUUGAAAACGGCGGCGAUGACCUGCGGAUAGGGGUGAAAGGCCAAUCAAACCCGGAGAUAUCUCGUUCUCCCCGAAAUAGCUUUAGGGCUAGCGUCGCGCGUUCACCGCCGGAGGUAGAGCACCGGAUGGACGAGGGGGCUUCGCCGCCUACCGAAUCCAACCGAACUCCGAAUGCCGGCGGCCCAGAGCGCGGCAGUCAGAGCAUGUGGGCUAAGCUGUGUGCUCGAGAGGGAAACAGCCCGGACCGCCCGCUAAGGUCCCCAAGUUCCAGCCGAGUGGCAAAGGAUGUGCGUCCGCCCAGACAACCAGGAUGUUGGCUUAGAAGCAGCCAUGCAUUCAAAGAGUGCGUAACAGCUCACUGGUCGAGUGGACAUGCGCCGACAAUACACGGGGCUAAGCUGGACACCGAAGCGGCGGGAUUUUAAUUCAUUAGAAUCGGUAGGGGAGCUUCCCAUGGGCGGAGAAGCCGGAGGGCGACCGACGGUGGAGCGCAUGGGAGUGAGAAUGCUGGCAUGAGUAGCGAGAGACGAGAGAGUAACUCGUCCGCCGUGAACCCGAGGUUUCCUGGGCAAGGCUAAUCCUCCCAGGGUCAGUCGGGGGCUAAGGCGAGGCCGGGAGGCGUAGCCGACGCGCAGCAGGCAGACAUUCCUGCACCGCGCACGCGGCGCUACGACCGACGGGGCGACGGAUGGGGGUGGCUCGGCGGGGUUCUGGACGUCCCCGUGAUGGAGCGCGGCCCGCGGACCAGGGAAAUCCGGUCCGCACGAGGGCGAGGCUCCGGACGAAGCGACUGAGCGAAGCGAGUGAGCCCGAGGUCCCUAGAAAAACCCCUAGGCAGGCGCGUGCGCGCCCGUACCGCAAACCGACACAGGUGGGUGGGUAGAACAUACCGAGGCGAUCGGGUCAACCAUGGUCAAGGAACUCGGCACAAUGGCCCCGUAACUUCGGGAGAAGGGGUGCCCGCGCGUACGUGAACCGGCUUGCCCGGGGAGCGGAGGCGGGCCGCAGUGGAGAGGCCCAAGCGACUGUUUACCAAAAACACAGGACUCUGCAGAAGCCGCAAGGCGACGUAUAGGGUCUGACGCCUGCCCGGUGCCGGAAGGUCACGCGGAGGAGUUAGCCAUUUCGGCGAAGCCCCGAAGCCAAGCCCCGGUAAACGGCGGCCGUAACUAUAACGGUCCUAAGGUAGCGAAAUUCCUUGUCGGGUAAGUUCCGACCUGCACGAAAGGCGCAACGACUUGGGCGCUGUCUCGACCAUGGACCCGGUGAAAUUGCACUGGUCGUGAAGAUGCGACUUACCCGCGGAAGG
rnacentral:rRNA from 1 species